UAGAAAAGAUCCACGCUCCAACAUACAGCUUGGAAAAGAAAAUGGCGACCUGGGCCAUGAAGAUAUUAGGCCAAACGGACACCUCUGUUCUUAGUACAGAGAGCGUUUUGGAGAGGAUAAAGGGAAUAACAUGAAAGGAAGGAGACCAAAUGAUCAUAUAUGAUUAUGAAAGCCUAUAUCCUUCACUAAAAAUUGAGCCGGCAUUCCUAGUACUAUAUCGUUUUUUGCUGCCUAUUACCGAAGGUAUGCAAGUAGAACCGUUGAUCCUUAGAGAUCUAGCCUACAUUAUAACCAGGAAGUCGUAUUUUACAUUUAAUAACAAAUUUUACCUGCAAAACACGAGUGCCCAUAGGAAGCCCAAUGGCGGCACCCAUAGCAGAGAUGGUUCUGAGAGAGGUAGAGUCAAGAGAGUUAGCUAUCUUGAGGAAC
rnacentral:lncRNA from 1 species